AAGGCAGCAGUGGGGAAUAUUGGACAAUGGGCGCAAGCCUGAUCCAGCCAUACCGCGUGGGUGAAGAAGGCCUUCGGGUUGUAAAGCCCUUUUGUUGGGAAAGAAAUCCAGCUGGCUAAUACCCGGUUGGGAUGACGGUACCCAAAGAAUAAGCACCGGCUAACUUCGUGCCAGCAGCCGCGGUAAUACGAAGGGUGCAAGCGUUACUCGGAAUUACUGGGCGUAAAGCGUGCGUAGGUGGUCGUUUAAGUCCGUUGUGAAAGCCCUGGGCUCAACCUGGGAACUGCAGUGGAUACUGGGCGACUAGAGUGUGGUAGAGGGUAGCGGAAUUCCUGGUGUAGCAGUGAAAUGCGUAGAGAUCAGGAGGAACAUCCAUGGCGAAGGCAGCUACCUGGACCAACACUGACACUGAGGCACGAAAGCGUGGGGAGCAAACAGGAUUAGAUACCCUGGUAGUCCACGCCCUAAACGAUGCGAACUGGAUGUUGGGUGCAAUUUGGCACGCAGUAUCGAAGCUAACGC
rnacentral:rRNA from 1 species